CGCCGGCGUGAAACAUUUUGUGUGUCAUAUUGGUUGGAGUGUUGUGCAACCGCGUUUUGGAAGCUGCAAUGGGUAGAACUGCUCCUGAUGUGCUCUCCCUCUCCAGUGUGUGUGUGUCACGCGGCUGCGUGACCUUGGCGGCACCAAGGUCCCGCUGCUGCUUUGUUUCGCUUUGCUUUGCCGUGUAUCGCUGACUGUGCUGUGCAAUAUGGCAAAUUGCAGCUAUCCUCGCUAGUAUGUCUCUGCCUCGUCUGCCUGGUCUGCCUCCUCAUGGUGUCAGCCGGCGCAGACAAAGCAGCUUGGGAUUUGUUUUUUUUUUUUAUAGUGCAUCCUCACCGGCUUUUAACUGUAGUUCUCCCUCUGUUUUUAUCUGUAUACACAGUAGGGGACACUGCUUCAUUUGUUGACUAUUGUUUGAGUCUUGUUUCUUUUUGUUUGGCCCCAUGGCCCUAGUACCAUGCCUUCUGCUUCUGUGCCUCCUAUCGCUAUUUCCACUGCUCGUGCUCCCUUGACAGAGAGACUGGUAUUUAUUCCAAGAGAUAGGAAGUGUCCCAUGUUUAGGGGAAGGUCAGACAUAGGCUUGGCAGAAUGGAUUGAGGAAGUAUAGGCUUGUAUGAGGGCGCGCCACUUACCUGCAGCUGAUCAGGCAUUUUUCCUCUUUGACCACUUGGAGGGGGAAGCACGUGAGGAGAUUAAAUAUCACUCUAGUGCAGAACGAGCAGACCCCUCAGCCAUUAUUGCAGUGCUGCAGGAACUGUAUGCGUGUUCUGAGUCCUAUGUAGCUUAACAGGAAGCCUUUUUUUCUAGAUGGAAGCAAGAAGGGGAGACUUUGCAGGAGCUGUCCCUGGCUUUGAUGAGCCUUAUGGCCAGAGUUAAGGAGCGUGCAUCCAGUGACAUGCGUAAUGCUGAAAGUCUUUUGCGUGACCAGUUUGUUGAGCAUGUUAUCGAUGGGGCCCUCUGCUGUAAAUUAAAGCAGUUUGUGCACAGGCAGCCGACUGCUGCAACUUGAGGUGGGAACGUGAGAGUUUGCUAGGAGGCAUGAGGGGACGUAGUCAUUCUGUCCCCUCAACAUUUGGCCUUCAGUAUGGAGUUCAGAGCAGUUCGCAGGGAGUGAUUAAUCCACCUCCAGUGUCUGAGUUGGGAGAGAAGUGCUGAGACUCCAGCAGGAGCAGCUCAAUAUACUCACUCAGAGUCUGGCCCGUUUACACAACUCUCAGGAGCGUAGUCGUCCCUCUCGUAACGGUCCCAUAAUAUGUAGACGCUGCCAGCAGCCUGGUCACUUUGCCAGGGAAUGCGAUGGUGUGCGUGUUCCUCCCCACACUCGGCCUACCUUGCCGGCGCCUCAGCAACCUGGUAGGCAGUCUGGUCCCUCUCAGGCUUUGGAAAACUAGCACCUGCUGGACUGCAGAGCCACAGUUCGGUGGUAGUAUCCAUUGGCUCAAGAGAAGUCUUAACUGAUUUUGAAGGAGCUUCUAAGUUGGUGUCAUCAUAUCCACAUUUGACAGUGACCUUAGGGGGAGUUAGUGUGCUUGCCUUGUAGAUACUGGGUCUAUGGUGUCUACAGUCACAGAAAGUUUCUUUCUCCAGCAUUUUCAGCCGUGGGGUCACGAGAGACUCCAGUCUUGUCAUUGGCUCCAGCUCAGGGCCGCUAAUGGGCUAGCUAUUCCCUAUAUUGGUUAUUUAGAGCUGAAUGUUGAAUUGUGUGGUAAGUUAAUACAAAAGUAUGGAGUGCUGAUGGUUAAGGACCCCCAUGGUGAGCUGCCCUCUCGGGUCCCUGGUGUUUUAGGGAUGAAUAUGAUCUGCAGAUGCUAUGCAGAGGUUUUUGGCCAACAUGGUUCAGCUGUAUUUGAUUCAUCAGAAGUCUCCGGGGCUUCAGAGUCUGUCUUGCAGGCAUUGCAAAAAUGCCAUCAGGCUAGUAUAAACACCCCUGAAGCUGUCCAUGGAUCAUACUGUCGUGCAUCUGUUCCCCUUCUUCGGUAACCUGAGAAAACUCUCACAAAGAUGGAGAUGGCUGCUCCCCAGAAAUUUAUUGUACGUGUAUAUGUUGCCACAGAUGUUGCCAUGAAGCUCACUCUGAAUGAGCGACCAGUCAGUAGAAGAGCUGACAGGCAUAGUGCAAGAAAAAUUCAAGCCAAGACUGGACGGUGACUUCAGCCUACAAUAGGAGGAUCCAGACUUUGACGGCCAACUUAGUGUACUUGUGGACAUUGAGGAAUCGCCAGAGAAGGGCACAUUGAAAGAAAUUAGAUCUGAAAGCGAUGACACUUCUGCUGGAAGUUCUGAUACAGACAUCCUUCCCCAUGUACCUUUAACACAGCGUCAGAAGAAUUGGCCCGAUUCUUUUCCUCGCCAACUUUUUCUUAUGAAGUGGAACAUGUCCUUGAAGAAGGUAACAGUGCCUUUGAAAUGUCUGGAAAGACACUGAAAUUGACAAGAUCCCAGAAGCACAACAUCCUGGAAAACAUGGCUGAAACAAUGCAUAGCUUCAAACCGUACCCAAAUGACAGGGAAGUGGGUAAGGCAGCUGAAGCUCUAGUUACUGCACACCCAUGCCUCAGAGAGCUUGGAAGUGACAGUGGAUGGUAUGGAUGGAAGGUCAGUUUAAAGUUUCAGAUGGGGAAUUAUCGUACAAAGCUGGUCAGAUCUGGGUGUGCAGAGGUGUCUGUUAACACUGGCAGGAGGAGCAAAAACAACCCUGAGAGGGAGCAGCCUCAUUCCAAUAUUAAAAGAGCUCGGCGUUUUGAAGUUAGCUUUCUACCCAAUUUUCGAAGAGGGGAGAACCAGGCUACUUGGUAACAGAUGAGAGUACAAAUUCUCCAAGAAGUUGAAAAGACUGAAAGAGACCAGAUACUGAUAGAGAAACUCAUGCAGACAAUCUUUGCUCUUCGUCGACAAGAUAUUGUCCAGGGAGAUCUUCCAGUGAGGGGCUUCUUGCAAAACUGGCCAGCCUUACGAAUGGAGUCACAGGUAACGACUGUAGUAUUCUUAGUCUGCCUAUCCUCAAGCAUUUGUUGCAAUAUACUACACAUAUUGAUUUUGAUUGUUUCAAUGUGUUUUUUAUGAGUGAUUUUCCCAGGUCUUUGCUGAGUUCCACCGAAUUACCAAUGUGAACUUGCGCAGUCAGUUCUAUUCAGAGCUUGACAGACACACACCACGACUGAUUGCCUUGUACGCCUGUACAAGGCAAUCAGUCAGGCAAGACAGCAGAGGCACUGCAGGAGAUCCUUGGCAUUUGUGAUCUAAAGGUCUAUUCAGGAUUAACUUUUCUAUCACCACAUUUUGUACACAUUUUGCACAUAUUUUUGCUGUACAAAACCAGAGCAGUAAGCUAAAUGAAAUAACUAUUUUUUUAAAGGGCAGUUUAAAGGUAAGCUACUUUUAUUGUAAAGAAAUUAUACAUAGACUCAGCUAUAAUAAUAUAUGAUCGCCUUGAAUCAUCACUUCUGACCUGUUGGCAGUGUGUGCAGGUGUAUUUACUGUCACAGCCACAGUUUAAGGCUGUGGGCUGUGGUAGUGCUUCCUCCUCCGGCCCUGCUCUCUCUCUCUCUCCUAGGUGUGUGUUGGUGAAGCUGGCAGCUGGUGCAUUGUAAUCAGCGGACGAGCUGCAGGUGGAGCUGAGUGACUGGUCUCUGAGCGUCUCUAUAAAAGCAGAUGGCACCCGUCAUUCGAAGCUGUGGACUGCCAUCUAAUCUCCAUAAGCUGAUUCCUGCCUGCUGAGUUUCCUGGGUUCCUUCGUCUGCUGGUUUUCCGCUCUACUACGGAUUCUGCUUUCUUCUCCGGAGGAUCUCCACCUGUCGCCAGCUUAACCUGGGAACAUCAACUUACACCUGGAAAGAGGACUUUCUCUGGAAACAUCUGCCACGACCGGGUUCUACAGACACCAAUUUACCAAGCACAUGGCGAACACCGGGAGGGAGAGUUCGGGAUGAAGUCAAACCAAAAGGACUGUUUCUCAGCUCAUCAGCUAAGUCUCCAAGCCCUAGUAUCACCAGACUAUUUGUAUUGUUAAUACGUCGAAUUAAAUAAGCUUUCCGUAUUUAACUUAAUGUAUUUUUUGCUUUCAUAGGAUGGCUUUAGUCUGGGGUUUCAGCUCAUUACUGGUAGUCUAGGCUGGGUUAGUUUUUUAUUUUCAGUUGUUUCCCCACCUUGGUGUUACCAUACGUGGGUUAACCUUAGUUUCAGUUUCCAUGUUCAUGUAGUUAUUCCUCUGUACCGCUAGCUGGGUUUUGUUUUUCAGUUCUAGUAGUAGUUUAGUUCUUCUGUGUCAAAUACUCUAGUUCUGGUUCUUGUAUAGAGUUUCGUGUUGUGAAUAAAAGCAUUGUUAAAAUGUU